rnacentral:rRNA from 1 species
CCUACGGGAGGCAGCAGUGGGGAAUAUUGCACAAUGGGGGCAACCCUGAUGCAGCGACGCCGCGUGAGUGAAGAAGUAAUUCGUUAUGUAAAGCUCUAUCAGCAGGGAAGAAAAUGACGGUACCUGAGUAAGAAGCCCCUGCUAACUACGUGCGAGCAGCCGCGGUAAUACGUAGGGGGCAAGCGUUAACCGGAUUUACUGGGUGUAAAGUGAGCGUAGACGGCUGUGCAAGUCUGGAGUGAAAGGCGGGGGCUCAACCCCCGGACUGCUCUGGAAACUGUACGGCUUGAGUGCAGGAGAGGGAAGUGGAAUUCCUAGUGUAGCGGUGAAAUGCGUAGAUAUUAGGAGGAACACCAGUGGCGAAGGCGGCUUACUGGACUGUAACUGACGUUGAGGUUCGAAAGCGUGGGGAGCAAACAGGAUUAGAUACCCGAGUAGUC